rnacentral:rRNA from 1 species
GAUGAACGCUGGCGGCGUGCCUAAUACAUGCAAGUCGAGCGAACGGACGAGAAGCUUGCUUCUCUGAUGUUAGCGGCGGACGGGUGAGUAACACGUGGAUAACCUACCUAUAAGACUGGGAUAAUUUCGGGAAACCGGAGCUAAUACCGGAUAAUAUUUUGAACCGCAUGGUUCAAAAGUGAAAGACGGUCUUGCUGUCACUUAUAGAUGGAUCUGCGCUGCAUUAGCUAGUUGGUAAGGUAACGGCUUACCAAGGCAACGAUGCAUAGCCGACCUCCGAGGGUGGUCGGCCACACUGGAACUGAGACACGGUCCAUACUCCUACGGUAGGCAGCAGUAGGGAAUCUUCCGCAAUGGGCGAAAGCCUGACGGAGCAACGCCGCGUGAGUGAUGAAGGUCUUCGGAGCGUAAAACUCUGUUAUGAGGGAAGAACAUAUGUGUAAGUAACUGUGCACAUCUUGACGGUACCUAAUCAGAAAGCCACGGCUAACUACGUG